ensembl:rRNA 5S_rRNA 5S ribosomal RNA
UUCGGCGCAGCCAUGUCAACCUGCAGCCCAAAACCGGUUACUCUCUGAAGCUGAGCAGGGCUGAGUCUGGUCAGUACCUGGAUGGGAGACUACAUGGGAAAACUAGGUUGCUGUUGGAA